rnacentral:rRNA from 1 species
ACGAACGCUGGCGGCGUGCCUAAUACAUGCAGGUAGAACGCACAGUUUAUACCGUAGCUUGCUACACCAUAAACUGUGAGUUGCGAACGGGUGAGUAACGCGUAGGUAACCUGCCUGGUAGCGGGGGAUAACUAUUGGAAACGAUAGCUAAUACCGCAUAAUAUUAAUUAUUGCAUGAUAAUUGUUUGAAAGAUGCAAUUGCAUCACUACCAGAUGGACCUGCGUUGUAUUAGCUAGUAGGUGAGGUAACGGCUCACCUAGGCGACGAUACAUAGCCGACAUGAGAGGGCGAUCGGCCACACUGGGACUGAGACACGGCCCAGACUCCUACGGGAGGCAGCAGUAGGGAAUCGUCGGCAAUGGACGAAAGUCUGACCGAGCAACGCCGCGUGAGUGAAGAAGGUUUUCGGAUCGUAAAGCUCGGCUGUAAGAGAAGAACGGGUGUGAGAGUGGAAAGUUCACACUGUGACGGUAUCUUACCAGAAAGGGACGGCUAACUACGUG